AAAUUCCUCAACUGCACCCAAGUCAAUGGGUGUGGCUUGGAUACUGGGGGUUGCUGGCUUUUCAGAAACUGGCUCCUCUGAAAUGCAUUAGUGGCAGAGAGAAAGAACCACUACAGGGUGUGAUUAACUAUCUACAUCUUUUGGUAUUCUGUUAUGCUGCUUCGUGUGGGCACAUUUUGACAA
rnacentral:misc_RNA from 1 species